CAAAGUACCCUUCACUGUGCCCGUUGUACGUUUCAACGCUACCGUCACACCCAAGACUCUCUUGGUCGUUACUGCCUCUCGUUUAUUUUGACUGGCUCAUUACAGCUCCCUGCCUCUAUCAACGUGAAAGUUAUACAGCUGUUUCCUUACUGGGUCUACCUAUCAACAUGGCGUGUAACUGGCAAUACGUAGUAAUUGUUAUACUUGGCUCAGUGUAUGCAGUGGCUGCAGAGACGGAAAAGAAAUAUUCAAUGGAUAUCGUCUCGGCAAUGGUAGCUGCCACUGUUGGAAUUAUGGUUGCAGGGAUCGGACUGGUAAUGUACAUGUACGACGUGAACUGUCGGCGGUACACCAACGAUCAUGGAGACGAGAACCCCGAAGAACAUGUUCAUAUGCAGAUAGUGGAGGUGGAGCCAUAGUUGAGCGCCCUCACCGUUGAAUUCCACCCCCACUUCUCCUUGCAGACGUUCCAGUAAGCACAUAAUUUUGAACGGAGCAAGUGUCAUGUAAUUUGAAUAAUAUCACCACGGGUUGGACUGGAAAGAGAAUACGGCGAACAAACUCCGCACAAUAAAUACUCGACAGAAAACCUGGAUUCAACCAUAGCUGUGAUGGGGGUGGGUGGGUGUAAGACGAACCAGGGGUGGGAUUUAAAGGAAUUGUUUUGAUUUAAAACGACAGCACAUUUAUGUAUAACAUACUAAUUGUAUUUACAAAGUUUUACUUACAUGCACGUGUUUUUAAAAUAAAAGUAUUUCGAUUGAAAUUAACCAUAGCCGCUAUAUUUUGAAAUUAGCAUGAAUGUCUAACGCCGGGGGUGGGAGAGAAUUUAAUCUCACAGAAAGUUGACACCAAAGCUUCUGAACAUAGUUUUGAAAAACAAUCUCUUAAACUAAAGACAGUAUAGUAGUAUACUAUCUAUGUUUAAAGCGCGGAGGUCGUCGCCGCCGCGCAGCGCGUGUUCGAAUUUCAUGUAAAUAAACAAUGUAUUUUACACACAUGAGUCCCAUAUCGAACAGAACGCGGCACGACGACCACCGCCCUUAAAACGAAUUUUAAAACCUCCCAUUCUAAUCGUGUUUAAUCUGUAAACUACCUAGAAUCAUGCCCUCUAUCGUUAGCACGCUUUUGUAAUUACUGGUACAUUUAGGUGAAACCAGCAUAGAUAUGUUUUUUAUCUGUACUCUGUCAAUAAAUAUGUUGAGACGAACGACUGUA